rnacentral:rRNA from 1 species
AUACGGGGGGGGCAAGCGUUGUUCGGAUUCAUUGGGCGUAAAGAGCUCGUAGGCGGCUUCGUAAGUCAGAGGUGAAAGACCACGGCUCAACCGUGGAACCGCCUUUGAAACUACGAAGCUUGAGGCCCGGAGAGGAAAGCGGAAUUCCUGGAGUAGCGGUGAAAUGCGUAGAUAUCAGGAGGAACACCAGUGGCGAAGGCGGCUUUCUGGACGGGUACUGACGCUGAGGAGCGAAAGCUAGGGGAGCAAACAGGAUUAGAAACCCCAGUAGUCC